rnacentral:rRNA from 1 species
UACGGAGGGUGCAAGCGUUAAUCGGAAUUACUGGGCGUAAAGCGUGCGCAGGCGGUUUGUUAAGUCUGUUGUGAAAUCCCCGAGCUCAACUUGGGAAUUGCAAUGGAUACUGGCAGGCGGGAGUAUGGUAGAGGAAGGUGGAAUUCCUGGUGUAGCAGUGAAAUGCGUAGAGAUCGGGAGGAACACCAGUGGCGAAGGCGGCCUUCUGGACCAAUACUGACGCUCAUGCACGAAAGCGUGGGGAGCAAACAGG